UCCACUCAUUGUGAGCGGACUAUCUGAUUUCUGCACAGUCUCUCUCCACCGCCCGUCCUGCUGAAGCUGCCCAUGGAAACUCACACAAUGUUGUGAAAUGAGGACAAUCCUCAAGAACAACUUUCAGACAGCAUCUGCCUGAAAAAAUAAGCCAGAUCUUCAAAAGACUAUUCACCACAACAUAUACCGCAAGGUAUCAGUGCUGCUUCAAGAAGAAUUUGUUUCCUCUUUUAGUUCUAGAAAACAGCAAUUCCAGUGAACUAGGAAAAGGGUCUGAAAAUACAGAAAACAAGCACAGCAACAAGAGGCAGCAGUAUACAAUUUACACAUUCAAGAGAGAGGAAAAGGAUGAGAUGACCAAUAAAAAGAGCCAAUAUUGUUUCUUCAGCAUCACAACAGCUUAGCUUGAAAGCAACAACCUUUCCAAACAUGCUGCAAGCGAACGACCUCUGAUGGCGUUUGUCAAUGAGGACACCUGCUAGUUACUAUUCCUCAGAAAUGACACACACAUUCUGGCACAAGGGUAUUUCAGAGGAGCUUGUUUGAUAAGCAAUGUCUGCUUAUGGUGAUGAAGAUGAGGGAGAAGGAGGAGGCUAUGAGGAUGUUGAUGCGGCAUCUGAAAAAAAAGCACCCUCUGAGAAACUUCUGCCUCCACCUACUGCACCUCCUAAACCCAGCCCGCCAGGUUCAUUGAACUGCUGCUGUCCUCUGUGGAGUGUCCUCUGGUUGGCUGUGCUGGUCGCCUUUGCCUGGCCCUUGAGUGUGGCCAUGGCGGCCCUGUAUGGAUUUGUGUCACCCUUGGUGUCCCUGAUAGGAGUCGAUGACCCGGGCGACUCCAUGCUGCAAGCCGUGCACCUGGGCAAGGAGUGUGCUCAGAAUGUCAGGACUGGCAGGUCCAUGAUCUGAAGGAGUGACUUCACCCCCUCUAGCUUCCUGUCCCUUUACAUGCGUUCAUCAUGUAAACCUGUAUGUCUCGCCUGUAUAUCUUUGCAGCAUUUGGAUUAAAAUGUACCUACUUCAAUACACAA